rnacentral:lncRNA from 1 species
GCAGUGUGACAGGAAUGCUGCUGCUUCUCCCUGUGUCAGCUAUUCGCUGUCCUCGGGAAAGCAAAAUGGUUUUCCUGAGAGGUUUUCUCUCACACAUCCUUCCUUUGCAGUGCAGCAGAAGGCACUGAUAUUUCACUGCUGGGAAAAUGAGAUCAGAGGUUAAAUCUGGUCUCUAAGGUAUAGAGGAAGUUCCAUUUUAUUACCCUUCUCUUCACUGAAUUGUGAAAAGCUGUGACUGAGUUUGUUUUUCUUUCCUCUUUACAGGUCCCCUACAAGAAUGGCUGGAAACAUAUCAUCAGGAUCUGGAAUCCAUGGGGCCAUGGGGAGUGGAAGGGGCCCUGGAGUGAUAACUCUCCUCAGUGGGACCGUGUUGAGCCUAAAUACAGAGAAGCCCUCCUCAGAAAUAAGGAUGAUGGAGAAUUCUGGAUGUGCUGUAAGGAUUUCCAGGAGCAGUUUUCAUGGCUGUACAUAUGUAACAACACCCCAACAUUCCUGGACUUUGGAGAUGAGCACGGCACAGCAGCGUGGUCUCUGACCAGCUACACCAACCUGUGGAGCCCGGGCCUUCCCUCCAGGAGGAGCCGCUAUUCCCGGGGUGCAGCUUCUACAAAUCCUCAGUAUUUUUUCAAAGUGCUAGAUCACAAUCCAAAAACCCGUAAUGUAGCCAUUUCACUCAUGCAAAAACCCGCUGAGCACACGCAGGAUGAAAGAAACAUGGGGAUUGGCUUUUUCAUCACCAUGGAGAACUCCAGAGUUCUGGAGCAAACCUUUCUCCAGGCUCGAGAUGUGACCAGCUGCCUGACCCUGAGCCCAGGAACCUACGCCGUGGUUCCUGCUGCAGCAGAGGAUCAGGAAUUCCAAUUUCUCCUAAGGAUUUUCAUAAAGAAUCAGGACUACCAUGAGUAAGAUGAUGCACACUCCUUAAAGGCCCCAGAGCCAGAGAGUGCCAG